AUAUAUUCUGGAUACACUCAGUAUACAUGGACAUAAUUUAAUUUUGGAGAGUUUCUUUUGAGAGUUGAAGAGAGUUCAAAGCUAGAAAGAGAAAACAAAGAGAGAUCUCCGGAAUAUUUUACUUCUCUAUUUUUACUAGUUUUCUCCAUGUUGCUGGGACUUCUGGAUUGAGGUGUUGAAACUACUUUGCUUUGUUGGUUGUUGUUGUUGUUUGCUACUGCUCUGCUGCUUCCCAUCUUCCUCUUCUUUUGCUUUCAAUACCAGGUACACUUUCGA
rnacentral:lncRNA from 1 species